rnacentral:rRNA from 1 species
CCUACGGGAGGCAGCAGUGAGGAAUAUUGGUCAAUGGGCGCGAGCCUGAACCAGCCAUCCCGCGUGCAGGAAGACGGCCCUAUGGGUUGUAAACUGCUUUUGUGCAGGAAGAACGUCCCGUUCGUGAACGGGAGUGACGGUACUGCAUGAAUAAGCACCGGCUAACUCCGUGCCAGCAGCCGCGGUAAUACGGAGGGUGCAAGCGUUAUCCGGAUUUAUUGGGUUUAAAGGGUGCGUAGGCGGUAAGAUAAGUCAGUGGUGAAAAGCUGCAGCUCAACUGUAGUCGUGCCAUUGAAACUGUUUUACUUGAGUUACCAGGAGGUAGCGGAAUGUGUUGUGUAGCGGUGAAAUGCUUUAAUAUUACACAGAACACCGAUUGCGUAGCAGCUUACUAUCGGUUUACUGACGCUGAUGCACCAAAGCGUGGGGAUCAAACAGGAUUUAAUACCUGGUAGUCCACCCGUAAACGAUAUUACUCCCUGUUGGGGAUAACAAUCACGGGUUUACGAAAACGUUAAGUUAUCACUGGGGAGUGGCCCCAAAAUUGAAACUCAAAGGAAUUGACGG